CAGCCGUAAACUAUGCUCGCUAGGUGUCAGGCAUGGCGCGACCGUGUCUGGUGCCGCAGGGAAGCCGUGAAGCGAGCCACCUGGGAAGUACGGCCGCAAGGCUGAACUUAAGGAUUGGCGGGGGAGCACAACAACGGGUGGAGCCUGCGGUUUAAUGGACUCAACGCCGGACAACUCACCGGGGGACGACAGCAAUAUGUAGGCCAGGCUGAAGACCUUGCCUGAAUCGCUGAGAGGAGGUGCAUGGCGUAGACGUCU
rnacentral:rRNA from 1 species